AAAGGCCAGUGUCACUGCUUAUCAAGUUUUUUUUUUUUUUAAACCAUGCUCUGUGCAAUAGAUGAAUAGGGUAAAAUUUAUGUAACUAUUACAUAAUUGG